rnacentral:rRNA from 1 species
CUUCCAGACUCCUACGGGAGGCAGCAGUGGGGAAUAUUGCACAAUGGGGGGAACCCUGAUGCAGCGACGCCGCGUGGGUGAAGGAGUAUUUCGGUAUGUAAAGCCCUAUCAGCAGGGAAGAACAAUGACGGUACCUGACUAAGAAGCACCGGCUAAAUACGUGCCAGCAGCCGCGGUAAUACGUAUGGUGCAAGCGUUAUCCGGAUUUACUGGGUGUAAAGGGAGCGCAGGCGGCGCGUUAAGCCUGGUGUGAAAGCCCGGGGCCCAACCCCGGGACUGCUCUGGAAACUGCGUCGCUGGAGUACGGGAGGGGCAGGCGGAAUUCCUGGUGUAGCGGUGAAAUGCGUAGAUAUCAGGAGGAACACCGGCGGCGAAGGCGGCCUGCUGGACCGUGACUGACGUUGAGGCUCGAGAGCGUGGGGAGCAAACAGGAUUAGAUACCCUAGUAG